GUUUAAAAAUGAAAGACUAUUGGUUGCUUUGGGCAACUGCAGCACUCCUCUGCACAGAGAGAAGCUAUUUAGAGAAGUAUGGCUUUGGAUGAUUCUGGCACAAAGGCGAUGCAGCAGAAAGUCAGAUGAUGUCAGAAAUGAAAACUUGGUUUUACCUACUCCUAAGGCAAAGAAUGCAAUGUGAUGAAAAUCCCACCCAUCCCUCCGAGGUCUGUAAUAGUUGUGGAAUAUUGUUCUGAUCUCAUUCCAAAGGGGAGAUUGAAGAAGACUAAAUCCAAUUUUUUUCAAUGCCAUCUUUCAUGUGCUAUAUGGGGUGCAAAUGUAUACUAAACUGGAUCUUCAACAGAUAAAAAGUUCUUCAGGAGGACAGACGCUCCCCCAACCUUAUUUCAAAACCAAAGUUAUGAACUCAUAAAACUUCCAAGCAAUAAAUAAUUGAGUGCAAUAAAGAACAGGAAG